rnacentral:rRNA from 1 species
UGCAGUCGAGCGGAUGAGGGGAGCUUGCUCCCUGAUUUAGCGGCGGACGGGUGAGUAAUGCCUAGGAAUCUGCCUGGUAGUGGGGGAUAACGUUCCGAAAGGAACGCUAAUACCGCAUACGUCCUACGGGAGAAAGCAGGGGACCUUCGGGCCUUGCGCUAUCAGAUGAGCCUAGGUCGGAUUAGCUAGUUGGUGAGGUAAUGGCUCACCAAGGCGACGAUCCGUAACUGGUCUGAGAGGAUGAUCAGUCACACUGGAACUGAGACACGGUCCAGACUCCUACGGGAGGCAGCAGUGGGGAAUAUUGGACAAUGGGCGAAAGCCUGAUCCAGCCAUGCCGCGUGUGUGAAGAAGGUCUUCGGAUUGUAAAGCACUUUAAGUUGGGAGGAAGGGCGUUUGGCUAAUAUCCAGGCGUUUUGACGUUACCGACAGAAUAAGCACCGGCUAACUUCGUGCCAGCAGCCGCGGUAAUACGAAGGGUGCAAGCGUUAAUCGGAAUUACUGGGCGUAAAGCGCGCGUAGGUGGUUCGUUAAGUUGGAUGUGAAAGCCCCGGGCUCAACCUGGGAACUGCAUCCAAAACUGGCGAGCUAGAGUACGGUAGAGGGUGGUGGAAUUUCCUGUGUAGCGGUGAAAUGCGUAGAUAUAGGAAGGAACACCAGUGGCGAAGGCGACCACCUGGACUGAUACUGACACUGAGGUGCGAAAGCGUGGGGAGCAAACAGGAUUAGAUACCCUGGUAGUCCACGCCGUAAACGAUGUCAACUAGCCGUUGGAAUCCUUGAGAUUUUAGUGGCGCAGCUAACGCAUUAAGUUGACCGCCUGGGGAGUACGGCCGCAAGGUUAAACUCAAU